GCAGUACGGCUAGCGUAUACUGCAGUCGUACGCUUGCUAUUUGCCACCGGAGCUUGCUCCACCGGAAAAAGAGGAGUGGCGAACGGGUGAGUAACACGUGGGUAACCUGCCCAUCAGAAGGGGAUAACACUUGGAAACAGGUGCUAAUACCGUAUAACAAUCGAAACCGCAUGGUUUUGAUUUGAAAGGCGCUUUCGGGUGUCGCUGAUGGAUGGACCCGCGGUGCAUUAGCUAGUUGGUGAGGUAACGGCUCACCAAGGCCACGAUGCAUAGCCGACCUGAGAGGGUGAUCGGCCACAUUGGGACUGAGACACGGCCCAAACUCCUACGGGAGGCAGCAGUAGGGAAUCUUCGGCAAUGGACGAAAGUCUGACCGAGCAACGCCGCGUGAGUGAAGAAGGUUUUCGGAUCGUAAAACUCUGUUGUUAGAGAAGAACAAGGAUGAGAGUAACUGUUCAUCCCUUGACGGUAUCUAACCAGAAAGCCACGGCUAACUACGUGCCAGCAGCCGCGGUAAUACGUAGGUGGCAAGCGUUGUCCGGAUUUAUUGGGCGUAAAGCGAGCGCAGGCGGUUUCUUAAGUCUGAUGUGAAAGCCCCCGGCUCAACCGGGGAGGGUCAUUGGAAACUGGGAGACUUGAGUGCAGAAGACGAGAGUGGAAUUCCAUGUGUAGCUGUGAAAUGCGUAGAUAUAUGGAAGAACCCCCGUUGCGACGCCGCUUUUCUGAGCCU
rnacentral:rRNA from 1 species